rnacentral:rRNA from 1 species
UACGGAGGGUGUAAGCGUUGUUCGGAAUUAUUGGGCGUAAAGCGCACGUAGGCGGGUUUAUUAGUCGAUUGUGAAAUCCCCGGGCUUAACCCGGGACUUGCAGUCGAUACUGUAAAUCUUGAAUGUUUGAGAGGAUGGCGGAAUUCCUGGUGUAGAAGUGAAAUUCGUAGAUAUCAGGAGGAACACCCGAGGCGAAGGCGGCUAUCUGGCAAUACAUUGACGCUGAGGUGCGAAAGCGUGGGGAGCAAAC